GACGAACGCUGGCGGCGUGCUUAACACAUGCAAGUCGAACGGUGAAGCGCUUUCCUUUUUGGUUGGUGUGGAUGAGUGGCGAACGGGUGAGUAACACGUGAGUAACCUGCCCCCUUCUUCUGGAUAACCGCAUGAAAGUGUGGCUAAUACGGGAUAUUCUGCGCCUGCUGCAUGGUGGGUGUGGGAAAGAUUGUGCCUUUGGGUGUUUUCGGUGGGGGAUGGGCUCGCGGCCUAUCAGCUUGUUGGUGGGGUGAUGGCCUACCAAGGCGGUGACGGGUAGCCGGCCUGAGAGGGUGGACGGUCACACUGGGACUGAGACACGGCCCAGACUCCUACGGGAGGAAGCAGUGGGGAAUAUUGCACAAUGGGCGCAAGCCUGAUGCAGCGACGCCGCGUGAGGGAUGGAGGCCUUCGGGUUGUGAACCUCUUUCGCCAGUGAAGCAGGCCUGCUCCUUGUGGGUGGGUUGACGGUAGCUGGAUAAGAAGCGCCGGCUAACUACGUG
rnacentral:rRNA from 1 species